UGUUCGCGUAACCUGACAGUAAUGCCCUUCCUAAAACUUAAAAUCUAUUCUCUUUACGAUAUAUAUUCUAGAAAAUUUUUCUAAUAGACAAGGGUAUUCUGGUCAUCAAAUAUAAUACAUUUUCAGCGUUCAACGGCUUUUCCAGCUUCCAGGCCUUUUUUUUUUCCUUUCCUCCGGCCACUCACUUUCUCUCUCUGUAUUUUCCUUCAUUUUCCUUCAAUCUGCCUCUUCCUCUCACUAUCUGUACUUUUGAAAUAUUCUCCAUUUGCCUUUCCAAUUCAUUUUCUUUAAUAGCUAUGUUGCUGUCCAGUGUGGUUCUGUCACGGGUAUCAAGGGGCGUGGGCCGACGCUCCCUGCUUCUCCUUUCUCCUUCACAAAAACAGCAGCUACCGAAUCUUAUCGCGUUAGAUUGACUCUCUGGUUCAUGAAUAUCCUAACCAGUUUGUUGCAAGCCGGGUGUCCUUGUUGCAUCUUUCAGCCUUUAGUUCCUCUCCCUUUCAACUAUUUGGAUUUGCUUCAUCUGCAUCCCCUGAACUUAAUGAAAAGGAACAGGGUAGCCGUUUAGAGAAUGGUGCAUGACCACCAUUUUUCUUCCCAAUAUUCAAACAUUAUUAAAAAGCAUCUUUUUCAGUAAUUUACCCUUUUCUUCCAUUAUUUUUGUUUCCCUCCUUAACUAGCUUCCAAAGAUGGUGUAAGCAAGCAUAGCCUAUCUUACAAGUGUAGUAGGCCCACGAGGGGUGGGUGAAAUGAAAAUGGACACCCUGAUAAUAUGUGAGCGCCACCGCACCAACUCUGCAUAAUCGCCACCUCAGCCACCAUGCUAACCGUUUUUAACUCGCGCCUCCACUGAUCACAGCUGUAAAUGGACGGAAAGCUCCAUCCCUGCCAGAGGGUCUGCUAACCCUGAAGCUAAACAAUCUGCUUGGGCAGUAAAAUAAGUAUCUGAUCUGAUGAUGGUCUUCCUAUGAGCAAAUGCCAUUAAUUGACCUAAAAUAUUCAUCUAAAAAAUCAAUAAAUCCCAAGCAAUGUCACUCCUACAAUGUAUCAUUUGCUAUAGUCAUCAAAAUAAGUUGCCCAAUUCAGAGUUCAUACUAGUUUAGAGCUAAGCAGCUUCUUCAGUUUCAAGGAUCUUCUCAGUGUCAACUAGUCCAAAACCAAGCUGAGAUCACUUUUUUCAUUUGACCCAUUUUGCCCUACCCAAGGUUAUCAUGGUCACCAUUGUGAUUUUUCAAGCACAAUCCCAAACCCAGACUACACGUUUGAAUCCUGAAAGGGGAAAAAGUUGUUUAAUUCCACUACUGUAAAAAAGUUGAUUUCAAUGGAUUGAGACUCACUGCCAUGGACAUCCUUAAACAUUAUGUCUCUAUGUGCUAAACUGAUAACUGGCAGAGAUAUACUCAAGAUGCAUGCUUGCUAGGUGGAAGUGGCAAAAAAGUUUAAUAAAUGGUCCUACCUACGAACACGACCUUCUGAAAGUUCUGUUGUGCCCAGAGAAAUAAAAUUUCUAUCAACAGAUGAAUGAUAAAAUAAAGGCCUCAAACUUUGAUUAAAUUAAAAUAUCAGAGAAAGGUUAUUUGUCAACGAUGGUCAAUGUCCAUCAUGGAUGCGUGUUCCAUGAAUAUAUUAGAUAUUCCAUCAUCAUGCCUACUGAGAGGUUUAGGCAACUCAUAGAUCAAAUGUCAUCCUCGGGAUAUCAAACUGAUCUUCAUAAAACAAUAGGGAAUUGGUCCACAAAUCCUGUCUAUUGCAUUUCAUUCAAUCUUAUUUCAUGUAUGUUUCCAUCAUGGUAAUCACACUGACCUCAUACCUUAGCAUGAUAAAAGUUCUUGCAUGGCAUAUGAAAUGAUAAAAAAUAAUAACAAUCUUAAGCAAAUCUAAAGACCAACAAGUAUUCUGGCAUUUUUUUUAUAUCUCCUUUAAAUAAGUAAUAUUGAGAAUACGUACAACUUCUGAUGUAAAGGUGAAAAACAUCCAUUCUCAUGAAACAUGACAAACAACUAAAAUCCCUACCACAAGAACAAUGGACAAAGACAAAGGCAUAUAUAGAUCACAGGUGUAUAUAUAAGCAAAGCCAGUAAGAAGAGGCACAAAUGGUAAAUAGUGGCACCUGGGUUUCUGUCUCUAAAGCAGUAGCACUGGUUAGCCCAUCGUUCUUGGUGGUUUGCAGUGCUCUGAACUGGCUGAUCCCGCUUAUCUCAGCUUCAUGAUCAACCCUUUUAUCUCUCUUUCCCCGUUCUUCUAGUACCGCAAUCUUGAGACGUGAAAGCAAUCAAAUCAUGCUCGACUUGGUAAAAAGACUUCUGAAAUUGAAUAGGCAACACAUUUUUACCAAAUAAAAAGACUUCAAAUUCUAUACUAUUUCUCCUAUUUACCACCACUUCCACAGUGUUUGGCUCAAUUUCAUCUCACAAAAAUGUUGUGGAAUUCAAGAUAGUCUCGUACCAUAACAUAAAGAGGCCAUAAAAAUGAACUCAACGACAGUUAAAGACAUGAUGAUAUGAAAAAAGUAACCCAUUUACAAAUGUCCAGCAUACCCACUUCAAAAUUAAACCAUAAACAAGAGAAGAACAGCAAUUUAUAUAAGAAGAGAGAAAAAGAGCACAUACGGGAGUGUAGCGGAACUUGCAUUUGGGAGGCUCCUCUGACGAAGCAGCGUCCGCGGCGGUAGCCGGGGACAGAGGUGUCCACCGACAGAGGAGGAGACAAGAGGUGUUGGCGGUGUGGCUGUUGAACUGGGAGUGGGAGUACGGUGGUAGAUGGAGACACGUGGAUCCACUUCUUCUUCCACUUCCUUACCAAGCCGUUGAACAUAGCUGCCGUCGCUGAUGGGCCAUACCGAGACGAGGCGCGACCAAGUCGAGACCCCACCACUACUCAACCCCGCGAAACCGAUAUACCGGAUUUUAUCGGGGCAUUUGCCGCCGGUGGCUAUCCAUGGUCACCGGUGUAUAGCGCAGGCGUGAUGUUAAAUAAUCUGAAACACCCAAAACCUUUGUUAAUGCAGCGACGUCGUUUCCUCACUCGCGCCAUUUAGUUGUCAGUUUUUCGAAGAACGACGCGCGUUUCGAAUAAAAUAGUGAAAAGAUAUUUCUAAUUUUCU